GCGCGGAGGCCCGGCUAGCCCGGCCGGCUUCGUCACGUGACACCCCUUCCCCACUCCCUGAGCAUUUCUAAGGCUCCAAGCGUGGAAUAAAGAAGCGUCCUCCCCAACGUACGAUUUUCCCGUAGUCACAUCAACCGUGGGAGAGAAAAAGGACGGGAAAUAAUAUAUUCUCUUUGCUACAAAAGAGGAAAACAGAGGGCCGAGGCAUGGAGCCCCUCGCCUGGGAGCGCAGGAAGCCGCCCAGGACCAAUCCUUGAGAUUAACACAUGAAAUUGAGACAAGGAGAACUGGUGGAAGAUAUAUAUCAGGAAUCCAUAGACUCCAAGAUUCCCUGCCUUACUGAUCUGUCCAUCUCUAGAGGCUGGACCUAUCAGCUGGAAUAGUGGUCCCUGGACUAUCCAUGUGACCUGAGCUUCCUCACAGCAUGGCAACUGAGUUUUAAAGGUGACAUUUUAAAAAAUUAUCGAUAGACAUGAAUUUAUUCUACACGAAACUCCUCUUUAUGCUCUGAAUCUGCAAUCUUGACCAACUGGAAAAGGAAGUGUUAAGGAAACACAACCUCAGUGUAUCAGGGCUUUUGAUAGUUCUGAAGAAUAAUGUUCAGAUUAUUUGGAGACAUUAAGGGUUUGUCUGAUAUUUUCUCUAGAUUAGACCGUGGUUAUGGGUUUUAAAGAAGAAUACCAAAGAGGUUUUGGUUCAGAAAGCAUCUCAGGAUCUCAUUGUGGCCGAUUCAAGGAAAGCACUUGCCCCCAAUAGUCCUUACAACCAGAAGUCAUGGGAUCCAAUUCUGCCCAAUGAGAUGCACGAGGAAGUCUACUGGGUGAAGAUUUGCCAGAUUCAGCUGACUUAUGCCUCUUGCCUUUUCCCCUUCUUUCUCUCUGGGGUCUGCACCCACAUUCUAGGAAUGGCAGACAGUCAGAAGCGCAGGAGGGUGAGAGAAUUCACCAGAGCCAGAGCGGGGAGCAGAGCAGGCAGAAGCACCGAAGCACACUGCUGAGGGGAGCAGCGGGCGGCA